rnacentral:lncRNA from 1 species
AUGGAGCCGCAGGACUGUUCCCGGCUGGGAGGCUGCAUGUGGGGGGUCCGUGAAUACAGCUGGCGGCCCCAGUUUUUCCGCCUGAAAUGGAAUGAAGUAUUAAAGGUGUAUAUCGUCCUCCUGUCCCUGGCGAUCGGCGUUGUUAGCCGGCCCAACCUACUCUCCGUGGAGACAAUCAACACCAACCUCACUCUACCUGGUGGUGAUUCUCCGAAGCUGGGAUCACAUGUUCCCAUGUCACCACGCAGUUUCUCUCUUCCGCGUCUACCGCCUGGUGUAGAGACCCCUGGAGACACUACCUCUCCCCACGUUCACGCCCCGCAUAUAUUGAACAUCUCCUGUGAAAAUUUUACAACUAUUUGCAGCUUGAAAAAAUUAAGUGCAAUUUCAAAACUGUUUAGGAUAUUAUUUCAUUUAUAG